CUUAGUGGCGGACGGGUGAGUAACGCGUGGGUAACCUGCCGUAUACAGGGGGAUACCACCUGGAAACAGGUGCUAAUACCGCAUAAGCGCACGGGAGCGCAUGCUCCUGUGUGAAAAACUCCGGUGGUAUGGGAUGGACCCGCGUCUGAUUAGCCAGUUGGCAGGGUAACGGCCUACCAAAGCGACGAUCAGUAGCCGGCCUGAGAGGGUGGACGGCCACAUUGGGACUGAGACACGGCCCAAACUCCUACGGAAGGCAGCAG
rnacentral:rRNA from 1 species